CCUACGGGAGGCAGCAGUGGGGAAUAUUGGACAAUGGGCGAAAGCCUGAUCCAGCAAUGCCGCGUGAGUGAUGAAGGCCUUAGGGUUGUAAAGCUCUUUUACCAGGGAUGAUAAUGACAGUACCUGGAGAAUAAGCUCCGGCUAACUCCGUGCCAGCAGCCGCGGUAAUACGGAGGGAGCUAGCGUUGUUCGGAAUUACUGGGCGUAAAGCGUACGUAGGCGGUUAUUCAAGUCAGAGGUGAAAGCCUGGAGCUCAACUCCAGAACUGCCUUUGAAACUAGAUAGCUAGAAUCACGGAGAGGUUAGUGGAAUUCCGAGUGUAGAGGUGAAAUUCGUAGAUAUUCGGAAGAACACCAGUGGCGAAGGCGACUAACUGGACGUGUAUUGACGCUGAGGUACGAAAGCGUGGGGAGCAAACAGGAUUAGAUACCCUGGUAGUCCACGCCGUAAACGAUGAUAACUAGCUGUUCGGUCUCUACGAGACUGAGUGGCGCAGCUAACGCAUUAAGUUAUCCGCCUGGGAGUACGGUCGCAAGAUUAAAACUCAAAUGAAUUGAG
rnacentral:rRNA from 1 species